UACCAGCUCUCCGAGUGGUGUGGAUGUUUAUUGGGCCUAAAGCAUCCGUAGCUGGCUGGACAAGUCCCCUGUUAAAUCCACCGAUUUAAUCGUUGGUGUGCGGGGGAUACUGUUCGGCUAGGGGACGGGAGAGGCCGACGGUAUUUCCGGGGUAGGGGUGAAAUCCUAUAAUCCCGGGAAGACCACCAGUGGCGAAGGCUGUCGGCUAGAACGCGCCCGACGGUGAGGGAUGAAAGCUGGGGGAGCGAACCGGAUUAGAUACCCGGGUAGUCCCAGCUGUAAACGAUGCAGGCUAGGUGUUUGGGCGGCCACAUGCCGCUCUAGUGCCGCAAGGAAGCUGUUAAGCCUGCCGCCUGGGGAGUACGGCCGCAAGGCUGAAACUUAAAGGAAUUGGCGGGGGAGCACCACAAGGGGUGAAGCUUGCGGUUU
rnacentral:rRNA from 1 species